rnacentral:rRNA from 1 species
UAUCGCAGUAUAUCUUAGUAAUAUAUUUUCAUUAUUCCGAGAGGGAAAAGCGAAAUUUAUAUACUAGUUGGUCGUACUUUUUGUAUAACGGCUCUUCCAAAAACACUUCUUUUGAUAUCUCCCGAAAUAAGAAGAUCUAACCUUUUCCACAUUUAGUAGUGAUAGUCUUGUGUGUCAUUACGGGUUAAAGAGGAAAAGUUAGGGAUGAAAUGUCUUCAAUUCUUAUGAUAUCUGGAUGACCUCGAAAAGUAUCUAGUACUAUAGACAGGUAGUAAGUAUUGAGAUUUACUACUGGGAGUAUUUUUUGUGACACGUUUCUUUUUAAGGCUAAUCCCUAUACUUUUAAUCUAAGUAACAAUCAAUUAAACUAUAUCUCUCUAAUAGAGGCUCUUAAACAUAAUUUAUUGUUUAUUUGUUUAUGAAGAGAUUAGUAAUAAGUUAGAAGAAUAAAUCGAGAAAAGGAACUCGGCAAACACGACUUCAUCUGUUUAUCAAAAACAUAGCCCUAAGAAAGUGAUUUAGGGUGUAACCUGCCCAGUGAAAGAAUUUUAACGGCCGCGGUACCCUGACCGUGCUAAGGUAGCGUAAUCAGUUGACUUUUAAAUGAAGUCUAGUAUGAAUGGAUUUAUGGGGUUGAGCUGUCUCUUUUCUACUCUAUUUAACUUAUUAAUUAGGUGAAAAGGCCUAAAAUUGAUAAAAGACGAGAAGACCCUGGGAGUUUUUAUGAGAGUUUUUGUUGGGGCGACAAGAGAACAGGAAACUUCUUUAGAUUUCUUUUUACAAGCCGGUGUUUUUCAAGGAUGAUUAAACUACCCCAGGG